GAUGAAGAACGCAGUGAAAUGCGAUACGUAAUGUGAAUUGCAGAAUUCAGUGAAUCAUCGAGUCUUUGAACGCACAUUGCGCCCGCCAGUAUUCUGGCGGGCAUGCCUGUUCGAGCGUCAUUUCAACCCUCAAGCACAGCUUGGUGUUGGGACUCGCGUUAAUUCGCGUUCCCCAAAUUGAUUGGCGGUCACGUCGAGCUUCCAUAGCGUAGUAGUAAAACCCUCGUUACUGGUAAUCGUCGCGGCCACGCCGUUAAACCCCAACUUCUGAAUGUUGACCUCGGAUCAGGUAGGAAUACCCGCUGAACUUAAGCAUAUCAAUAAGCGGAGGA
rnacentral:misc_RNA from 1 species